AUAUUAAUCUCUAUCUCAGCAAUGGAAAAAUGGGCGACAAUCGCACUUUUCUUCACAGCUCAUGAUUUAGUGUGCUGGGGACAAGACAGAGUUGAACAGCCUUCAAGAGAAAUGACUGCAAAUGAAGCAGAUCGAGUAACUUUAAUGUGUAACUACACUACCAAAGCUACAAAUACAGAUGCUUAUCUCUUCUGGUACAAACAACUAUCAAACAAAUCACCAGCAUUCAUUCUGAACAAAUAUCCAUUUAGUGAAGGAACAACUGAGCCUGAUUUUAAGAAGAGAUUUUCUGCAACACUGGAUACAACAUCAAAAACAGUUCCACUGAUGAUCAAGAAUCUGCGUGUGUCUGACUCUGCUGUGUACUACUGUGCU